UAGUCCACGCCGUAAACGAUGUCUAUUAGGAGUCUGUGCCCUUGAGGUGUGGGUUCCAAAGCUAACGCAUUAAAUAGACCGCCUGGGGAGUACGGCCGCAAGGUUAAAACUCAAAUGAAUUGACGGGGGCCCGCACAAGCGGUGGAGCAUGUGGUUUAAUUCGAUGCAACGCGAAGAACCUUACCUACUCUUGACAUCCAGAGAACUUUCCAGAGAUGGAUUGGUGCCUUCGGGAACUCUGAGACAGGUGCUGCAUGGCUGUCGUCAGCUCGUGUUGUGAAAUGUUGGGUUAAGUCCCGCAACGAGCGCAACCCUUGUCCUAUGUUGCCAGCGCGUAAUGGCGGGAACUCAUGGGAGACUGCCGGUGAUAAACCGGAGGAAGGUGGGGAUGACGUCAAGUCAUCAUGGCCCUUAUGGGUAGGGCUACACACGUGCUACAAUGGUCGGUACAGAGGGUUGCCAAGCCGCGAGGUGGAGCUAAUCUCAGAAAACCGAUCGUAGUCCGGAUUGG
rnacentral:rRNA from 1 species